AUUUCUUCACCGCCCUUGACGAUGGGAACACUCUUACCACCAUGAAUGAUAUAAGGAUCCAAAUUGUGACCGCACAAAUUACGGAUAGACUUUACUUGAUGUGUUUUUCCGUUAAUUUCCACUUCAUAACUUUCCAUGACUUCCUGAAUGGCUUCACCAAUCUCGUUCAAGCGUGCAUCAAUUCCGGCUUCUUCAAUACCCUUAUUAGUAGCAGCCUUGACUGCGGCCAAAAGGUUGUCGUACUGGGGAUCGAAAGACAUGGUAAAAGCAGAAUCAACAAUCCUGCCGUUCACAUGAACACCAAUAUCGACUUUCAUAACAUCUUUUUCCUUAAGUAUGGUGGUAUCACCAGCGUUGGGAGUAUAAUGGGCGGCACAAUGAUUUAAACUAACACCUGUGGGGAAACCAAUACCUGAUUUCAAUCCAUCCUCUUCGACCAAAGCCCGUGUAGUGUUUUCUAUCGUGUUGACAACGUCCAUCAUAGACAUGCCGGGCUUAAUAACGGAUUGAGCGUACUGACGAGCUUGGCGAUGUACUUCAGCAGCACGACGCAAAUCAUUAUACUGAUCAAAAUUUUGUCGGUCCAAAGCGCGCUUCUCUUCGUCAGUUGUA